rnacentral:rRNA from 1 species
GACGAACGCUGGCGGCGUGCUUAACACAUGCAAGUCGAACAGUGGCGAACGGGUGAGUAACACGUGAGUAACCUGCCCUCCACUUUGGGAUAACUCCGAGAAAUCGGGGCGAAUACUUGAUAGUGGGGGAUGGGCUCGCGGCCUAUAUGUUUGUUGGGGAGGUGGUGGUCACCACGGCGUGACGGUUAGCCGGCCUGCGAGGGCGACCGGCCCCACUGGGACUGCGACACGGCCCAGACUCCUACGGGAGGCAGCAGUGGGGAAUAUUGCACAAUGGGCGAAAGCCUGAUGCAGCGACGCCGCGUGGGGGAUGACGGCCUCCGGGUUGUGAACCUCUUUCAGCAAGGAAGCGGUACUUGCAGAAGAAGCGCCGGCUAACUACGUGCCAGCAGCCGCGGUAAUAC